AGAAGCCUUUGUCCUAGAUGGAACCAAGUGUGGUUUCUAAAAUAGACCUCAGUCCCUCCACUGGCCAAAGCUCAGAAAAGUUUCCAUGAGUCAAACCUUCCAGAGAGCUACCUUGUACCUGGAGGUGAGGUCACAGCUCCACCACAUCCAGGCCUCCUUUUUUACCGCUCUACCUCUCGGAGACUGAUAUUAUGAGCACCUGGAGGUAUAUUUCAACAUUACAGCACAGUUGUGAUCAGCCAGCAACAUUUGCAAAUCUUCCACAAAGCAAGAUAUUAAGCUGAAUGAAUUGUAUGGGAACCACAGAAGUCUAAAGAAAAAUCUCGUCUCUGAGUUUAUAUUAGAACCCCGGUGAAUCUCUCGUCUCACCAACAUUUGGCAACAGAGAUGGAGAAGUGAAAGUCACCAGUUACAUUUUUGCUCAUCCUCUGCUUUCUGUAUCAACAGCCCUGGUUUCAGCUCAAACAUUUCCCUAGUAUAGGCUGGGAUCUUUGUGAGUGUUUGUCACCUUCCUUCUUUCAUCCAACUUCAGAACAGAUGAGAACUUUGCCAAGACUAUUUCAGGGAAACUGAGGAAUCAAGUGAGCUUGCAAGCUUUUUCAACGACGAUGUCUAUACUUUUCAGUAUUUGGGACUAAAAUCAGAGGUAAUUCUGUUUUUUGCAAGGACCCUGACUGACACAAGCAUGCAAUCUGAGUCACCAGAAAUAUGAAAUUCUGAAGGUUAAUCAGGGAAAUCUUCAUGGGAGAGGUGGAAUUUGAACUUGCCUUUCUUUCUUUCUUUAUUGCUAUCAGUCUCUGGUGAGUUGUGCCUGAUGUGAAAUUGACAGCAAGAAUCUCCAGGACUACUUUAUCUUAUCAAUUCACAGCCACAUAGGAAAUUCCUUUACACUCAAGCUUCCAUGGGAUAAGCAGCUUUGCUCUAUCAUGACCCUCUGCUUUACAGCCAACUGACUUUGGGUUAAAUCUCUGAAACUACGAGCCAAAAUAAAUCUCUGUUCUCCUAAA